rnacentral:rRNA from 1 species
GACCGGGUGAGUAACACGUGACUAACCUACCUUUCAGUGGGGAAUAACCUCGGGAAACCGGGGCUAAUACCGCAUAAUGUCUUCGGACCAAAGGAGCAAUUCGCUGGAAGAGGGGGUCGCGGCCGAUUAGCUAGUUGGCGGGGUAACGGCCACCAAGGCAAUGAUCGGUACCGGCCUGAGAGGGCGCAAAGGCACACUGGAACUGAAACACGGUCCCAGACUCCUACGGGAGGGCAGCAGUUGGGGAAUUUUUGCGCAAUGGGGGGAAACCCUGGACGCAGCAACGCCGCGUGGGAGGAUGGAAGCCCCC